GCACCCUUAGCUCAGCUGGAUAGAGCGCGGCCCUCCGGAGGCCGAGGUCGCAGGUUCGACUCCUGCAGGGUGCGCCA
rnacentral:tRNA from 1 species